rnacentral:rRNA from 1 species
GACAGAGGAUGCAAGCGUUAUCCGGAAUGAUUGGGCGUAAAGCGUCUGUAGGUGGCUUUUUAAGUCUGCCGUCAAACCCCAGGGCUCAACCCUGGACAGGCGGUGGAAACUACCAAGCUAGAGUUCGGUAGGGGCAGAGGGAAUUCCCGGUGGAGCGGUGAAAUGCGUAGAGAUCGGGAGGAACACCAAAGGCGAAAGCACUCUGCUGGGCCGCG